AUAUGACAAGGACGAUGAUAUUGUACUUGUCUGUCAUGCCUGAGGAUCAGCGCAGUCUAGGUUUUCCUGGCAUUAACUUAGUUUUCUCAGAUUUAUGAUUUUUAUAAUGGCAAGAACAGAAAAAUGGCAAAACACACACCCCACAAAGUGAUGUUAUUAUUACCUGUCAAAUGAGAUGGAUAAAUUAGAAAAGUGUAUGAGUAAUCUCAGGAGAAUCAUAAUGAAUGAACCAGCAUCCCUCAAUACACACAUGUUUAAUUUAAAAUGUAAUUAUUGUUCAAAGUGUAUUAUUUCAUAUUCUUUAUCUUGUCAUAUCCCCAGUCUAGCAGCUCACAAACAGCCCCCAGCCCCCAUCAGCCAGCCGAACAGCAGAGUGCUGACAAUGCAGCUGCCGUCACACUGCCUUUAUAAUAGCAUACAUCAAGCCUUAAACGCUUCAGAGAAACACUCAAACAUCUACGUGCGGGUAAUUUUUGUUGCCCUAUAGAUUCUACCCAGACAGACAGAGUGUAAAAUAAUAGGUGUGCAGCAAAAUGAAGAGCACACACUGUUUCUGGAGGCACAAGUGAUUUUUGGACUCUGGUAAUCAGUGAGUCGGUGGCAUCUGCAGAAGCCUCUCACUUCUGCUCUUACCCCAGGAGGUGAAACUAACUUACAGUGCUCCUGUUGUAUGUAAUGUUUUACGAAGGGUCUUAAUGUAGAUUCCUGAUAGCAUACUGUGUGGCAUUACAAAUAUAUGUGAUAAGAAUACAGGUGCCAUUUUGACGCUAAUGUUACUCAAGGCAGCUAUUAGCCUGCACACAGCAAAUGACUGACUUUAUAUUCAAUGGGCCUUGUGAUAUUGAAUCUGUGUAUAGAUUUGCACAUAAAAGUCCUUGAUACUAAGAGAAAAACUACUCUGGAUUUAUGAAGAGCUGAAAACUUAUUUGAUCAUAGGCACGUGUACAUUUCAUAAAUGUCUAUCAAUCCUAAGCAUGCUUCCAUAAGUCAACAAUCAGCAUACAUCCCUGCCCAUGAAUAGUCAAUCACCCCAAUAAAAGGAUGUGUGGAUAGAUGCUGCCUGUGGGCCAGAGAGAAGGAGAGAAAGAGGAGGAAAAACCUUUGAGAUGUAGAGAGAAAUUAUUUUAGUUUAAGUGGAGUAAAGAAAAAAAAUAGUUUUUUUCUUCCUCCUGUGAGUAUUGUUGUGACACUCACCCCUAAAACACUAUAGGCCUGGUCUCUUGGUAUAUAGUGGGUCAGCAGAGUUAUAUCCACAGCCCUUAGUGGGAAGCUUCUGUUUCUUAUGUAUAGGUAAGGUCUCUGCAUAACUCACGUGUGCACAGCUGCUAGGCACCUGGGGGCUCUGUACACAUGCAGUUAUGUAAACAGACUAUAUUCUCAUUGAUGAGCUCAUCAUCUCACUGCUCCGUUCCCCAAAUGAGUGCCACCAGGGCUGUUUCGCAGGAUAAAGCUGUGUCGCACCAGACCACUGAGCUGCAAUGCAGACUUGGUAUCCUGUAUGUGUUCAACCUUAAUUUAUGGGGAUUUAAUUGUUUUUAUUAUCAUAAUACACGUGCAUUAUGCUCUUUCAAAUGAUAACUCUUUUGCAUUUGAAACCUUCUGAGACUCUAAAGUGCAACAUACUGAGGCCCUUCUGGUAAGCUGUUUGUGAUUAAGGGGAUAAACAGACACAGACAGGUGCUGGGAAUAUUUAGGAACCUCAAACAGGCUUGUGUCUCAUUUGUUCAACAAUAGUAACUCAAACAUACACGCUGUGCACAUACAAAGAUACUUUUCAUCUUAGAAGUGUCAUGGUAACCUCUCUGAUUGUUUCAACCACAUUUGUCAUCAUUACCUGGGCAACAGGACAUCGUUAGAUUCAGGCUCUGGCAGUGAAGCUCUGAAUUUUCAUUAGCCUGUGGAAACCAAGGUCUAACACUGUGCAAAAAGGCUGGUUAUUGAGAGCAAUGUAGGAACUAUUUUUUGCAUCCUUUCGCGCCUUUGGGUGGUUGGAUUUCUUACCUUUUGUUGAAUGAGUUGAAGUUGAAGUCUCUGACAGGUUUUUGCUGGUGACAACACUUUUUUUCACUCUUACUUUCAAAGAGUGUUGGGGUUGAAUGUUUUUUACAUGCAAAAUUGAACUGGUUGUAUUAAAGCAGAGUUGUUUUGCUCCUUCUUGCAUCACCUGGGCUUCACAAGCAUUGUAUGUAGCUACUCUGCCUCACAGGUGAGAUUUGUUGUCCUUGAAGAGUAUGACAGCUGCUUUGUUGGAGUCAGCAUUCAACCCGUUCUCUCUUUUUUGUGUUUUCUGUGGUGUAGAACCCAAAAUAUUUCCACAAGAAGCUUCUCAGGUGUUUUGGUGUCUCCAGGAUCUACCCAGGACAGCCUUGGGUGUAUCAUACAUCACCCAUUUUUGUAGGAAAUCCAUCGCUUUAUUAGUUUACUGGGGUCAAAAGUGUCAUUCAGUGGUCAGUUAUCAAUAGAGCUCCCUCUGCUGGAUCAAAUGAUAAGCUACCUUAGAUGGCCUUUAAAUUGAGGGGUUAGGUUUUAGAUAAAAACUGAAAGCCCUAGACUGAACAUGUACAAAACAAAACAAGCAAAGACCUCUUUGUCCUUGGGGGCGCCAAAUGAAAACAAACUGAAAAUUCUUCACAGGAGCCUUAAAAAAUAGGCCACCACUUACAGCACACCCCAAACGAUCAUUUGUCCUUCAAUAAUUUUACUUUAAUAACUAAAAUAGGGCAAAUGGAAGUGUUAUUCGGCGUUUUGCUGGUUGACAUGACAACUGUGCUUUGGAAUAAGAACACAACAUCUGUUCAGUCAAUAAUUGGACCUGAGCUCCUUGUGAAAUGUCUCACUGUGCUGAAGGUUAGUUCUUUCAUUUCCCUCAACCAGAUUUUUACAUUUAGAGAAUCAGCUUAUUGAAGUUUUUCCAUGGGACUGGUCCUCAAAUGUUGAACCUCUUCUUGUGCUUUUUGUGCUGUCAGAUUUGUAAGUUCCCAUAAAUCACAUUAACACAAACCAUGAGGAGUUCGGCAACCAAAAGACUGCUUUGACUUAUGUUUUGGUGCUACACAAUAUCCUUUAUCACUGAGUACUUAAAAAUGAGGUCCAUUGCGAGAAAGUACAUUAGCAUAAACUCUUUGAUUUAAGUUUCUUGUAACUACAAAGGAUGCAUAUAAGCAAGCACCAAUUAAUGAAGGAGUUAAAUCAUGAGCAGACUAGACGUAAAACACAACACUGGCCAAUUAGCCAGCUCACCAGGGUGUAAUCUCACACUCCGCACAGCACCGCCUCUGGCAGUUCUUUCUCGUCCUGUACAGAGUUUUGUGAAGUCCAGCUCAUCACCCGAAAUGACCUGAAACGGGCUGCGUGUUAAUCUUUUGUAGCCUUCCAGUUGCAGACAGACAGUGACACAUUGGUUGCUGCUGGCAGUAUUUAAUAGAUAAAUACAAAGAAAUCUGUACUACCCCAACCUGGAGUCCACGUCUCACUUAUUGAUCAGGUUAUGCACCAGCACUCCAUACAAAAAAACGUGAUGCUUUUCUUAGGGGUGACCCUGAGGAUUCACGGAUAUGAACAGACCUUGGUCAGACCUCAGAGCUUGUGUCAUUUACACCAACAGAAACACAA